rnacentral:rRNA from 1 species
CUGGCGGCGCGUCUUAAGCAUGCAAGUCGAACGGCAAGAGGUAGCAAUACCUCCUAGAGUGGCGGACUGGUGAGUAACACGUGGGUGACAUACCCUUCAGAUGGGAUAGCUAUUAGAAAUAGUAGAUAAUACCGAAUACGAGCACAGGGGUUAGAGAUCUGUGAGGAAAGGAGCUAAGGCUCCGCUGAAGGAAUGGCCUGCGGCCCAUUAGCUAGUUGGUGGGGUAAGAGCCCACCAAGGCGAUGAUGGGUAUCCGGCCUUAGAGGGUGAACGGACACAUUGGGACUGAGAUACGGCCCAGACUCCUACGGGAGGCAGCAGCUAAGAAUAUUCCGCAAUGGACGAAAGUCUGACGGAGCGACGCCGCGUGGAUGAAGAAGGCCGGAAGGUUGUAAAAUCCUUUUGAAACUGAAGAAUAAGCGUUGUAGGGAAUGACAGCGUGGUGACAGUAGGUUUUGAAUAAGCACCGGCUAAUUACGUGCCAGCCGCCGC